UCGAACGCGAAAGCCCCGCAAGGGGUAAGUAGAGUGGCGAACGGGUGAGUAACACGUGGGUGACCUACCUUCGAGUGGGGGAUAACGUCCCGAAAGGGACGCUAAUACCGCAUAACAUCCUGCUCUUGAACGAGUGGAGAUCAAAGCCGGGGAUCGCAAGACCUGGCGUUUGAAGAGGGGCCCGCGUCUGAUUAGCUAGUUGGUGAGGUAACGGCCCACCAAGGCAACGAUCAGUAUCCGGCCUGAGAGGGCGGACGGACACACUGGGACUGAGACACGGCCCAGACUCCUACGGGAGGCAGCAGUGGGGAAUUGUUCGCAAUGGGCGCAAGCCUGACGACGCAACGCCGCGUGGAGGAUGAAGGUCUUCGGAUUGUAAACUCCUGUUGCCCGGGACGAAAAGUUUCGACCUAACACGUCGAGAUCUGACGGUACCGGGUGAGGAAGCCCCGGCUAACUCUGUGCCAGCAGCCGCGGUAAUACAGAGGGGGCAAGCGUUGUUCGGAAUUACUGGGCGUAAAGGGCGCGUAGGCGGCCUUCUAAGUCGAACGUGAAAUCCCCGGGCUCAACCCGGGAACUGCGUCCGAUACUGGAAGGCUUGAAUCCGGGAGAGGGAUGCGGAAUUCCAGGUGUAGCGGUGAAAUGCGUAGAUAUCUGGAGGAACACCGGUGGCGUAGGCGGCAUCCUGGACCGGUAUUGACGCUGAGGCGCGAAAGCCAGGGGAGCAAACGGGAUUAGAUACCCCGGUAGUCCUGGCCCUAAACGAUGAAUGCUUGGUGUGGCG
rnacentral:rRNA from 1 species